rnacentral:rRNA from 1 species
UACGGAGGGUGCAAGUGUUGUCCGGAUUUAUUGGGUUUAAAGGGUGCGUAGGCGGCCCGUUAAGUCAGUGGUGAAAGCCUCCAGCUCAACUGGAGAACUGCCAUUGAUACUGGCGGGCUUGAGUACAGACGAGGUUGGCGGAAUUGAUUGUGUAGCGGUGAAAUGCAUAGAUACAAUCAAGAACACCGAUUGCGUAGGCAGCUAACUAGGCUGUAACUGACGCUGAGGCACGAAAGCGUGGGGAGCGAACAGG